rnacentral:rRNA from 1 species
GACGAACGCUGGCGGCGUGCCUAAUACAUGCAAGUUGAGCGCUGAAGGUUGGUACUUGUACCGACUGGAUGAGCAGCGAACGGGUGAGUAACGCGUGGGGAAUCUGCCUUUGAGCGGGGGACAACAUUUGGAAACGAAUGCUAAUACCGCAUAAAAACUUUAAACACAAGUUUUAAGUUUGAAAGAUGCAAUUGCAUCACUCAAAGAUGAUCCCGCGUGGUAUUAGCUAGUUGGUGAGGUAAAGGCUCACAAAGGCGAUGAUACAUAGCCGACCUGGGAGGGUGAUCGGCCACAUUGGGACUGAAACACGGCCCAAACUCCUACGGAAGGCAGCAGUAGGGAAUCUUCGGCAAUGGACGAAAGUCUGACCGAGCAACGCCGCGUGAGUGAAGAAGGUUUUCGGAUCGUAAAACUCUGUUGGUAGAGAAGAACGUUGGUGAGAGUGGAAAGCUCAUCAAGUGACGGUAACUACCCAGAAAGGGACGGCUAACUACGUGCCAGCCGCCGCCGUAA